rnacentral:rRNA from 1 species
GAUGAACGCUAGCGGGAGGCCUAACACACGCAAGCCGAGCGGUAGAGUCUCUUCGGAGACUUGAGAGCGGCGCACGGGUGCGGAACACGUGUGCAACCUGCCUUUAUCUGGGGGAUAGCCUUUCGAAAGGAAGAUUAAUACCCCAUAAUAUACUGGAUGGCAUCAUCUGGUAUUGAAAACUCCGGUGGAUAGAGAUGGGCACGCGCAAGAUUAGAUAGUUGGUGAGGUAACGGCUCACCAAGUCAGCGAUCUUUAGGGGGCCUGAGAGGGUGAUCCCCCACACUGGUACUGAGACACGGACCAGACUCCUACGGGAGGCAGCAGUGAGGAAUAUUGGACAAUGGGUGAGAGUCUGAUCCAGCCAUCCCGCGUGAAGGACGACGGCCCUAUGGGUUGUAAACUUCUUUUGUAUAGGGAUAAACCUAGAUACGUGUAUCUAGCUGAAGGUACUAUACGAAUAAGCACCGGCUAACUCCGUG